rnacentral:rRNA from 1 species
AUUGAACGCUGGCGGCAUGCCUUACACAUGCAAGUCGAACGGCAGCACGGGAGCAAUCCUGGUGGCGAGUGGCGAACGGGUGAGUAAUAUAUCGGAACGUGCCCAGUGAUGGGGGAUAGCCCGGCGAAAGCCGGAUUAAUACCGCAUACGACCUACGGGUGAAAGCAGGGGAUCGCAAGACCUUGCGUCAUUGGAGCGGCCGAUAUCAGAUUAGCUUGNGGUGGGUAAAAGCCUACCAAGGCGACGAUCUGUAGCUGGUCUGAGAGGACGACCAGCCACACUGGGACUGAGACACGGCCCAGACUCCUACGGAGGCAG